GACGAACGCUGGCGGCGUGCCUAAUACAUGCAAGUCGAACGCAGUUGGGACGGGUGAGUAACACGUGGGUAACCUCCCAUCAGAGGGGAUAACACUUGGAAACAGGUGCUAAACCGCUACUGAUGGAUGGACCCGCGGUGCAUUAGCUAGUUGGUGAGGUAACGGCUCACCAAGGCCACGAUGCAUAGCGGACAUUAGAGGGGGAUCGGCCACACGGGGACGGAGAGACGGCCGAGACUCCUACGUGAGGAAGCAGGAGGGAAUCUUCGGCAAGGGACGAAAGGCUGACAGUGCAAAGCCGCGGGAGUGAAGAAGGUGUUCGGAUGGUAAAACUCUGUUGUUAGAGAAGCGGUAUCUAACCAGAAAGCCACGGCUAACUACGUGCCAGCAGCCGCGGUAAUAC
rnacentral:rRNA from 1 species